AGUCGUUUCCGUAGGUGAACCUGCGGAAGGAUCAUUAACCCGUAUCCAACGUAAAAACCCCCUAAAUGAGAAGUUACAGUUACGAUUGAGCGGAGAUAGCUGCAUGACAUCCCGAAAGCAGUCAGUGUCUGAAAGUGUCAUUGAUUGUCUAAGGAUCUCGCCUCCAGAGGUCGCUCACCGACCGGCAGACAUGCAACCGGGUCCCCACGCCCCGUUACAACCUGUGAGUCGCGGGAAACUAGCGGCUAAAAACCUCGAACAACUGUUAACAAUGGAUAUCUUGGUUCUC
rnacentral:misc_RNA from 1 species